rnacentral:misc_RNA from 1 species
ACACUUGUUAAGUUUUACGCAAGAAAUAAGGGACUUGAUUUGCUAAAAGAUAUGAAGAAUACUGGACCAUCUUCAACUUCUAACGAAUACCAAAAUGAAGCAACCGAAAAUUUUCAUCGUCUCUGCCAACUUUUUGUGACAAUUUGUGGCGAAUUGCUUAGAGAAGUUAUAAGGUUGCGCAUUAAUGACCUUCGAUUGAAACUAGAUGAAUACGAAAAGGUACUAAAACACAUUUGCAACGCCUCACAGAGGAAAAUUCUUUAUCCGAAUUCUGAAGACAAACAAACAGAUCUCAAAGACAUGGAUGUAAGUUUACUUUACAUACUUUUGCGGAACAUUUGUGGUAUUCCGGCCCCUAAAAUGGCUGGGGGGAUAAACAAGAGAAAUCUGAUCUUAGUAUAGGAGCUUGCAUUGACAGAAUCAGAGUAAAGAGGAGCGUUCUAUUCGCUCAUGCAUAUAUAGGGACAAUUGACACAGACAGUUUUGAGCACAACUGGGAUUAUCUCAAGAAGAACAUUGUGGAAAUUGCUACAGAAUGCAAUUCUGUAGAAACGUAUGAGGGAAAAGUUGAUGAGUUGUAUGAUUGCACGUUAAAUUCGUCUGAAACCAAAACGUGCCUUGAAAUUAUCAUAAAAAUGGAAGAGGAAAUGAAAAUGGAUCUAGAAAUUAAAAAAGUUAUAUUCAUGGAGGAUACAUACGUACCACCUUCAUCCGUCAACUUGACAUCUACAAUCACUGUACCUAAUUUGUCAGCCAUAAAUCAUAUUGCUUACGUGAAACCGGGAAGUCUUUGGGUAGCUGGCGUUUGUACUCUCAAGCAAAUUGACCUCGCUGGAAAUCUUAUCCAAACCGUGGAUGAUGCGCUGUGUUAUCACGGAUGUUUUGCCGUCACGGAAAAUGGGGAUCUGUUUUAUAUUGGCAAAGAUAGACACAACAUCAAAAGAAAAAGCUCCGUCGAAACCAGUACAAUAGUGGACUUACCAGAUUAUGUAUCCAUACGCUGUAUUUGCAUUUCCCAAAAAGGCAAUCUGUUGGUAGUUACAAGAAAUGAUUUAAAAACCCAACGACACAGAGUAGUAAGAUACGACAUUAAUGAGAAUAUCAGUCACGUCGUUUUGGACGACAGUAUAGGGGACCUGUAUAAAGCUCCUUUUUAUAUCACAGAAAACAGGAACGGGGACAUUGUCGUUUCUGACCAAGAAAACAAUGCAGUAAUUGUUGUGAACAGUGCAGGUCAAAAUAGGUUUAUUAUUAAAACGCGUAAUUCUGCUUUUUUGCCCUGUGGUCUUGCUACCGACGACACUGGCAACAUACUAGUUGUUGAGGGCCACAAAGAAACAUAUAUCUACGUAUUUGAUCAAGACGGUAUUCUUACUCGGCGAUUAAGCGAAAAAAGGGACAGAUGGUGGGGCGUGUGUUUGGACGACAAACGAAAUCUUUAUGUUGGAAAUAGAAAAAGCACAAUUGAUGUGUACAGAUACUAAAAGGAACCAUCUCUAAAAAGAAUUAGAAAUAUGUAGAUUUGUCAAAAAUACUUCUGACUUCUUUGCUCUGCGGUCCGUGAAGACAACUACUUACUAUCAACAUAUCAAUUGUUGUGAUUGACCAAAUAUGUUUUAACGUCAUUUAGAUUCUAACAAAAUAUCAAGGGGUAUGAAUAUAGAUAUUAUCAAAACAAUUAGCACACAAUUCACAAUUUAACAAAUUGAUAAAACUUUUUUUUUUGUCAUUGUUUAAAAACCUUUUUUGGAGAUAUUUAUACAGUGAAACAUCAUUUAGAGACAUUCUU